GCCCCAUUUCUGCGACUUUCUGCUUCCCUCCUGAGUGUGAGUCGGAGCCGGCUACGAUGGGACGCUUUGCCCUUGGAGUUCUGCUUCUGCAACUGGCCAAACUCUGGCCAGCCGAUGCUGCAGUGAUUCCAAUUAUUCCAUCCUUGCCGCAAGAAAGACUCACUCUUCUGCCAGAACCGGAACUGGAGUGCAGGCCCCCCAGUACACUAUUCCAGACGAAGGGGGGUGUGGAAGUCUGUAUUAACCCCCCCGACCUGAGGAUCCAGAAAGCGCUGGACGUGCUGAGAAAACACUUCCGGCAGGGUUAGAUCAGCAGGACGGAGAGGAGCCUUUCAGAGACCAGCAACAGAGGCAAUCCAUCAAGUACAGAAUGCUGCCGGGCCGACAUCAGCUACCCGCUACCUCACUCCACUUGCCUCUGAUUGUGGGAUUAGUUUGCUGCCAGCCCUGGCUCUCUCGUUGGGAUUGUAGUUUGCUCUCUUUUUCCCCUUUCAUCUACCUCCUGGCUGCUCCCUGCGACACUUCUGAGUUCCUCCUCCCACAGAAGGAGUACGGGCAGUGGGCCAAAUCCAUAACCCACACUCUGAAUAAUAAACUUAUUCUGUGCUCACCUCUGAGACUCACGUGGCUUGAUGUUACAGUACAUGGAAAAGUUCCUCACAGAAUCAUGUCUCGCAAAGUGCAGGCAGAACCUCUGCAUCACAGAGCAACCCCAUCUCCCGGUUACUCCAGGGAUCAUGCUGUUUACCCCAUCCUGUAGCCUGUCCUGCAGAACCCCCAGCUCACCUCCGCCGGACACUCACAAUUCUUGAAGCUACACUGGCCUUCAGCUCCUCUCCCAGGGACGAUGUUGUGCUUCCACCACACUGUCCCAUCACUUCACAAAGGCCUAAGACGGCAGCAAGCUGUUCAGCAUAUCUCUCAAUGCUGCCCCUCAGUAACCUGAAUUGUUCCCUUUCACUCCAGGAUCCUGCUGUUCCAGGAGAUCUGCUGAUCUGCUGCUCCUGGUAAUAAAGUCUUUCAGAUUCUUGGCCACAAGUGUAGAAAACAGAACUCCCCCCCGCCCCCCCGGAGGUCCUGCCUCACUUCCCUCUCCUGUCCUAUACUGCUUUUUCACUCCACAGACUUUCUCCAGCACUGUACAAGCUGCAAGCAUCACACACUGGUUGGAAAGGCAGACAGGACAAAGCUCCUGUGUCACUCCUGCACCCCUGGUUGGAUAAGGGAUAAGGCUUCUGAGACACUCCGGUAUUCCUUUUGCUGCUCAGCAGCCUUCUGUCCCUGUUCAAAUGACAACCACUGCCAGAAACAGGAUCAGACCGACCCAUCACUACUCCCCUUCCCCAAUGCAUCAUAUUGACCACUAUGCUGUAAAUCAGUUUCAGGUUAGCAAUGUGAGCGCAAGACACAGCCUUGAGAUGUCUUCACGGAAGGUGUCAGAGUUCUAUUGCCUGGAUGGUCCAUCAGUACAUCCUCUAGGCAAGGCAUAUUCAACAUCCCCCUUAGCUCAAAAACCCAUACACUGCCCCACUCUUCAGGUAAAUAGUCCGCUCCCCUCCUGUCAACCUGACUGUGAAAGGUGCUCCCUUGGUACUGCCCUUCCCACCGUGCAGUGUCCCCGCUGAUCUGUGUCGAUACCGCAGGGGUGACCCUCUGCCUGAGAGCUUAGAGGUGCUGCCACUAAACAAUGUCUGACUGAAGACUGUCACUACACAGAGAAGCUCCGCUUUGGUUUGAGUUAUCUUUCAGUUACCCCCUUGCCCCUGGUUCCUCCCAACUCACAGCACAUCAACAAGCUCUUUGGUCAACCAUGUCAUGGCCAUAUAGCACAGGAAUGGCUUGGAUUUUCAGUAUCUGCAGAUUUUCUCUUGUUUGUGACUGACUUCCUCUGGCAGCUCAUUUCAUAUACUGAUCACUCUGCAUGAAAACGUUAAAGACCAUCAGACAAAGGAGCAGAAGGCGGCCAUUCGGCCCAUCAAGUCUGCUCCGCCAUUUUAUCAUGAGCUGAUCCAUUCUCCCAUUUAGUCCCACUCCCCCGCCUUCUCACCAUAACCUUUGAUGCCCUGGCUACUCAGAUACCUAUCAAUCUCUGCCUUAAAUACACCCAAUGACUUGGCCUCCACUGCUGCCCGUGGCAACAAAUUCCAUAGAUUCACCACCCUCUGACUAAAAAAAUUUCUCCGCAUUUCUGUUCUGAAUGGGCACCCUUCAAUCCUUAAGUCAUGCCCUCUCGUACUAGACUCCCCCAUCAUGGGAAACAACUUUGCCACAUCCACUCUGUCCAUGCCUUUCAACAUUCGAAAUGUUUCUAUGAGGUCUCCCCUCAUUCUUCUAAACUCCAAGGAAUACAGUCCAAGAGUGGACAAACGUUCCUCAUAUGUUAACCCUCUCAUUCCCGGAAUCAUUCUAGUGAAUCUUCUCUGUACCCUCUCCAACGUCAGCACAUCCUUUCUUAAAUAAGGAGACCAAAACUGCCCACAGUACUCCAAGUGAGGUCUCACCAGCACCUUAUAGAGCCUCAACAUCACAUCCCUGCUCCUAUACUCUAUUCCUCUAGAAAUGAAUGCCAACAUUGCAUUCGCCUUCUUCAUUACCGACUCAACCUGGAGGUUAACCUUAAGGGUAUUCUGUACGAGGACUCCCAAGUCCCGUUGCAUCUCAGAACUUUGAAUUCUCUCCCCACUUAAAUAAUAGUCUGCCCGUUUAUUUCUUCUGCCAAACUGCACAACCAUACACUUUCCAACAUUCCCUCAAGUCGCUAAUAGUAGCUCAAUAGUCCCGUUUAAUAUCAGAGAAUGUAUACAAUAUGCAUCCUGAAAUUACUACUCUCCACAGACAUCCCCAAAACAGAAAAAAAACUACCAAAGGAUGAAUGACAGAAAAAAACCCCAAAGCACCUCCCGACCCAUGUACAAGCAGCACCAACCCUCCUCCCUCCCCCUCCCCUGAAUUAUUCUAGCAUAAAACGUCAGCAUUCCCACCACCCAACAUGCCAACAAUAGCAAAGCUCCCAAAGAGAGACCAUGGUCUACAGUCCAUCAAAAACUAAUUCUUUAUUCCAACAUUUUCAACAUCCCACAGGCUCUCUCUGUCUCUCACUAACAAGAGAGAGACAGAUAUCACUCCUUUCACAGCGCUAGCAGAGACAACAAUCACUAUGUCAAUGUUACUGUCAGUCUGAAGUGUUGCUUUUUUAUUUCAAGUUCCCUGACUCGAGAAUUGGCAAAUUGGUCAUUGAGUGCAGAGCUGUCCGACGGCCACUCUUGUUCUCCUCAGUGUUCUGGCUCCCAGUAUGCAACACUGGUGAGAGUUUGCAUCUAACGGGCUGCUCAGUGACCCGACUUCAUGUCGAACCUGGACAUUCCAAAACGCGGUCAAAAAGCCAACUCCAAGAAGGGGAACGUGCCGCUGUGCAGAACUGCAGUAUCUGGGUGCCAGUGUACAUCAGAGAUCUAAAGAAGACCCUAGCCACCCUGGAAAGAAAAACAGAGACAAUAGAAUGAGAAGAAUUUAACUGUUUCACUGAAGAGCUGGGAGAAGUCGCCCUCUGGUGUCAUCUUUAGUUCCUCUCAUCUUUUCCCCAAACCUGGGAAGAAGUCAAGGUGCCUUCGUUCUGUCUGUGCCCCUCAUGAUUUUAUAACUUCUAUAAGAUCGCCACUCAGACUCCUAUGCUCAGACAAAAGAAAUCCUAAUUUUCACAACCUUUCCCGAUUGGUCGAAUCCUUAAUCACUCUUUUCUGCAUGCUUGUAUAUCUGCAACAUGAACUCCCAUAUUCUGCACUUAGUUUCCUGUCUGGCCAGUGCACCUUAGUCACAAUCCUGCACCUCCACUUUCAGGGAAUUAUGUACCUGAAAUCAAGGCCACUCUUCCACUUUCUACAGCAGUUCCCCAGAGCCCUGCCAUUCACUGUGAAAUUCCUAUCUGAAUUUGACUUCCCAAAACGCAACAUCUUGCAUGUACCUGGAUUACGUGCCGAGCAAUUCCUUGACUCACUUACCUAGCUGAUCAUGACUCCUCUGUAAAUCCUGAUAACUGCCUUCUCUUUCAUACAACACCUCCUAUUUGUGACCUGGAACUUUACUAACCAUUCUUUCUAUAUUCUCACCCGUAUUGCUUUUAUAGAUUACAAUCAAUAAUGAGCCCAGCACUGAGUCCUGUGGUACAGCACAAAACUUGGGGCUCCAGUCUGAGAAACAAAUUUCCAUUACCACCAUCUGCUUCUUACAGUUACACCAAUUGUGCGUGUAAUUUGCGAGCUGUCUCUGGAUCAGAUCUAAUCUACCAAUGUAAACUCUUAACAAAAGCCGUACCCAAGUCCAUAUUGAUGCCUACUUCCCAGCCUUCAUUCACCUUCUUUGCUACUUCAGUGGAUAACUCAAUCAAUUUCAUAAGAUGAUACCCUCAGAAUCCUCUCCAGUAACUUAAGUGGAAUCCGGUUCUGUUCGGAGUCCAGGAAUGAGUGAAAACUUGUUGCUUUAAGAUUGUUUAUGAUCAUAUGAACGAAAGAGUCAGAAGCAUAGACAAAGAAUAAUAUGGCGAUCUUUCCAGACCCGGCACUUCUAUACAAAUCCCUAAGAUAAAUCAAGGAUCAAUUACAAGAUACACAGUCACAGCAGGAGUAUAAUGUGCCAAGUGUGUAAUUUUCACUUAGCCAAUGAAAAACGAAAAGGUGAUAAACCUUUCUGUAACUGCUAUAUCAGUUUUCCAUCUGUAAGUGGAGACAGCACUACAUAUUGUGAAUAUAUGAAAGGAGAAAAAGCUACAAUUUUAGUCUUGCAUUAAUAACUAAUAUCUUAUUAAAAGCAUAAAACGCAACCAAUUCCAACAAUCCCUCCUUCGAUUCUAAAUCACAGAUUCAGAAUAAUUACAUCUGAAAAUUCAGAAGCAGAAAAUUUCGAAGUAUCAACAUUAUAGAGUCAUCAAAAACCACUUCAGUUGUAUCAUAUCAGAGAAUACAUCUUCAAAGCAUUUAUAUCAUUACAUCAUGAUUGCAUUCAUCAAGCAGACUUGUACUAGUUUGGGUUAUUCAGGUGAUGAUUGCCUUUAAGCAAACAGAAAUGUAGAUUAUGAUAAUACAUAUUAAUAUGAAUACUAUAAAUAAUGAAUACUUGAAUAAUUAUGUUUUCAGAGUUGUUAUGUAGUCGCAACACGCGUUACCUAUAACUGUAGGUGUUCCCCCUUUAACUGCAAGAAGAGGACCUGUGCCCUACUGGAAUGGUAAAUACACAGCUUUGCCAUCAACAGAGAUGGUUAUGUCUACGGCUAUAAUAUGGAUAGGGUCAGAUGUGUCAUUU